UUGUUGGAUUUUUAUGAUUUCAUGCAUGUAAAAAUUUUUCAAAACAAGUAUGCAGUGGAAUUUAAAAUUUUUAAAUUAAAUCUAAUUUAAUCUAAGUAUGCAUAAGAUCAAAUCUUCAAACCAUAAACAGGAUCAUCAUAUAUGAGAUAAGAUUCAGAUAUAAAAAUUAAAUAAAAAUAAAUAAAUAAAGAACAUAUCUUGGC
rnacentral:lncRNA from 1 species